rfam:Parcubacteria bacterium GW2011_GWE1_40_20 TT89_C0004, whole genome shotgun sequence.
UUUUUUAAGAGUUUGAUCCUAGCUCAGGAUGAACGCUGGCGGCGUGGAUAAGGCAUGCAAGUCAAACGGGUGCAUCUCACAAAGGUUCGAUGCAGUUAAAAGUUCAUAAAGUUCAUAAAGUUCAUAAAGUAGAUUCAGAGUGCAAAUGCAUUAAGAGUUCACAUUAAAAACUUUAUAGACUUUCAACUUUAUAACUCGCACCGAGGUUCUGCGAGGUGCAUCAGUGGCGAACGAGGUAGUAACACGUGGGUUACAUCCCCCAAAGUCAGGAAUAACUAAUCGAAAGAUUAGCUAAUACUUGAUAAUCUCUUCGGAGUAAAGAUUUAUCGCUUUGGGAAUGGCCUGCGGAGUAUCAGCUAGUUGGUAGUGUAAUGGACUACCAAGGCUAUGACGCUUAGGGGAGCUGAGAGGCUGACCCCCACCGAUGGAACUGAGACACGGUCCAUACACCUACGGGUGGCCGCAGUCGAGAAUCUUCCGCAAUGGACGAAAGUCUGACGGAGCGACGCCGCGUGAUGGAUGAAGUCCCUAGGGACGUAAAAGAAAGUUUAUUGAUAGUACCUCACGAAUAAGGGGUUGCUAAACUCGUGCCAGCAGCAGCGGUAAUACGAGUGCCCCGAGCGUUAUCCAGAAUUAUUGGGCGUAAAGGGUGUGUAGGUGGCAGUGUUAGUCAAACGUUAAAGCCCGGAGCUUAACUCCGGAAGUGCGUUUGAAACGGCACAGCUAGAGGAUGCGAGGGAUGAAUGGAACUCAUGGAGUAGGGGUGAAAUCCGUUGAUAUCAUGGGGAACACCAAAAGCGAAGGCAGUUCAUUGGCGCACUCCUGACACUGAAACACGAAAGCGUGGGUAGCGAAUGGGAUUAGAUACCCCAGUAGUCCACGCCCUAAACGAUGACAACUAGCUUUUCGGAGUAUCGACCCUCUGAGAGGCGAAGCUAACGCGUUAAGUUGUCCGCCUGGGUAGUACGACCGCAAGGUUAAAACUCAAAGGAAUAGACGGGGACUUGCACAAGCAGAGGAUUAUGUGGUUUAAUUCGAUGAUAAACGAAAAACCUUACCAAGGUUUGAAACCUAACUGAAUAGAAGCAGAAACGUUUCUAGUCUCACAAGGACAGUUAGGCAGGUGAUGCAUGGCCGUCGUCAGUUCGUGAUUUGAAUUGUUCCCUUAAGUGGGGUAACGAACGCAACCCUCGUUGUCUGUUAUACGUAUCAGGCGAGACUGCCCAGCUUUUUGCUCGGAAGCAAAAAGCCAGUUAAAAGUUCAUAAAGUUAUAGAGUUCAUAAAGUAAAAUGCAUUUGCAUCUACUUUAAAAACUUUACAAACUUUCAACUUUAAAAACUUACUUUUUGAGCUUGCGCUCAAAAAGCUGGGAGGAAGGCGAGGAUGACGCCAGGUCAGCAUGUCCCUUUGAUACCUUGGGCUACACACAUAAUACAAUGGCGACCACAACGCGUUGCGACGGGGUAACCCUGAGCUAAUCGUAAUAAAAGUCGCCCCAGUUCAGAUUGGGGGCUGAAACUCGACCCCAUGAAGUUGGAUUUGCUAGUAAUCGCGGGUCAGCUAUACCGCGGUGAAUACGUUCUCAAGUCUUGUACUCACCGCCCGUCAACUCAAGGGAACCGGGAAUACCCGAAGUCUAGCGUAUGCUAGCCCACGGUAAAUUCGGUAACAGGGAGUAAGUCGUAACAAGGCACGGCUAGCGGAAGCUGGUCGUGGAAUAAUUCAAUU